GAGUGCAGGGAAGGAUAGCCUGAGAUAGCCUGGGGCACAUCCGUGGAGGUCUAACCAGACAUCUGGGCUUGAGUCAGUGGGUAAGAGGCCCCCGGUGGUGCACACAAUGCCUCUCCAUCCUUAGUUUAUUCCAGACGUAGGCCAGGCCGGUGUCAAUAGAGAAGAUGCCCACCUCCUGGGAAGGGCUGUUGGGGACAGUAUCUAGCAGGCAAGCCCUCUGCCCUCUUUUGUCCUGUUGGCUUCUUUGGCCACGCGUGGACUUUCCCAUGAUCCCCAGAGCCCUGUCCUCUGAUUAUAUCAGCAGCUCGAGCAGACUAAGCCCAAGAGGGCUGGCAGGUGCCUGUACCUGUGCCUGUUUGUGGGGCAUCACUGUCCCCACGGGGCUGCACUGGGGCCUGGAGAACCCACAAGUUUCCAGUCAGUGCUUACUGCCCUACUCCCCGGAACUCAGUUUCCUCUUUCUUUCCCUCCCCGUCCCCUCUAACUGAUCCUAAACCACUAACAACUCAUCCCUCAUCCCUUGUGGCCACUGCAGUGCUCCCCCUAACGGAAACAUUCUCCACUCUUGAAAAGUGAGUUUUCAGUGCUUGAUGGAACAUCUGGAAUGUAUAGGAUCUUGUGUCCAAAGUCUCUAAAAAACAAGCCAAAAAGCCCCCACCAGGUCACCUCUUCCCUCCCAACCUGGCCCCAGAGGCAGAGAGAGAGAGCAAGCAGGGACACCUAAUGCCACCCUGUGUGUACAAACCGUUCAGCUCAGCUGAUUAACCCAGCCUGGUGUUAAGGGAGAGAGGCCAGAGCUGGUCUUAGAAAACACUACCCCCACCCCCUGAAUUUUUUGGGUUUUAUUUUAUUUUGUUUUUUAUGGUUCCGCCCUCCCUUCCUUUUACUUACAAGAAGAUAAGAUUGCAACCUCUCCUGGUAAUGACUUAGUCAUUCUUUUUCAUUUCAGUUUUUGGAAAUUAGGAGGAUCAUCCUAUGAGUUACUAAGGAUGAUUUUAUUUGAGAGAAUCACAUCAAAUAGGGACUGAGUUAUGGGUAACUCUAGAUGAAAAUGACCUUUUCCCAUGGGAGAGGUUUCUCGAAGGCAUGGAUGCAAAAUAUAAAAUAUUAAAAAAAAGUCUAAAUAAAGCUUAUUUUAAAAUAUGAUGGAAUUCUAUGUGAUUUGAUUGUUUCUACGGUGCUCCAAGAGGGAGCCGUGUCCCUGCAGGAGGUACAACUUGCAUGACCAUCACGUUAUAAAAUUCCUAGGCCGGGUGACAGGAGGGACCGGGAAAAGCUGGUUGGAAGUUGGUUGGAUGCUAAGUCCCCUGAAGGGGGGCCAAGCCAGGUGGACUUCCAGAACAUCUUGCUAAUUUGGAGGGGCAGUCGGCAUCUGAGGCUGCCCACGUUGUAACUUAGCACCUCCUGGCCCAGGAUCCCCCACUCCCUGGAGCUCAGAGGCUUCCCCCAGCUUUCACGGCCUCCCUUCCUUCCCCUCACACUCUAGCCAGAGGUCAGAGCUGUCCGUGGCUGUGAUUUUCCUCAGGUCUCAGCAGACCCCUGUGUCCCUAGUCCUCAGGCAGCCAGUGACUUAAAAUGACAUCAGAGUCCAGGGCAGAACAGACUAGGCUUUUUUUUUUUUUUUUUUCAGUUUCACAAGACGCACCCCCCACCCCCCGGGGGGUGCAAAAUUUUGGUUUUCCCAUAAGUCCUGGGAAGAGCCAAUCUAGGAAACCUCACAUCCUGGUUGUAGCCAGUGGCCUCAGUUUUCAUUUUUUUAUGGUCAGAAACUAGACUCGUGGGAGAAUGCAUUUGAAUGCCUCUUCCAGCUCUGCCAGCAGGCAGCCUAGACAAAGACACAGCAUGCUCCAAGGUCAGUGAAGUCACUGGGAUGCUAGGAACAAUAAGGGAUUCUGGCUAUUAGAGUUCUCAAUGGCCAUGCCUGUGGAGGGGAAACGGUCAAUGUCAGCACUCCCUAGAAUCAUAGGCUUUUACCUCUCCGGUGGCUGUAGCUGGCAGCCAGGAUUGUGAAUCCACCCAAGGCUAACCUAAGCAGGCAGGCAUGUUCAUACCUGAGACACAGUAGUCUGCGCCUGGCCUCAGGCAGACAUUACUAAUCAAUCAGACACUUCCCUACCCAUCCAAGAGUGGCCUCGGACCUCUCGUUUUCCAAAACUUCAAGUAUUAGUCAGACUUGCAAGGGUGAAGUUUAUUUGCUAUUCCAGAACUAGCCUGGCCUCUCAACGCUGGAUUAAAGAAAAACAAAUAAACAUGGAGAAAAUUUACUCAGAAAAGCGUGAUUUGGUCAGAGUCCAAGCUGGCCCUUGUACUGCUCUGCCACUUAAGAGUGGGGCCAAGCUGGGCGUGGUGGCGCACGCCUUUAAUCCCAGAACUCGGGAGGCAGAGGCAGGUGGAUCUCUGAGUUCGAGGCCAGCCUGGUCUACAAAGUGAGUUCCAGGGCUAUACAGAAAAACCCUGUCUCGAAAAACC
rnacentral:lncRNA from 1 species